GGGGUUUUUAUCUAUUCCAGUUCUCGAAAAUUUACCAAAUAUAGGUUGGCUGUAAAAUCAUAACUAUCUGAGGUAUCUGUCAAUAAAUCAAAGAUUGCAAUGAUGAUAGCUUCUUUAACAUGAAUGUAAUUCUAACAGUAAAAAAUUUCUAUAUGGAAUAUGUUUUGUAGUCCUAAAUUGAUAUUUUAUAUCAUUUUUCAGUGAACAAGUAGUUGUUUACAGGUGUCUGUGCAUAUGUCUCAAGUUUUUCUAACUAAAAUAUUAAUAGUUAAGUCUAAAAAUAUGAAUUAUACGUGGGGCUUGUCAUUCUGACAUUUAAUACUUCAGCGUGGUGAUAAUGGUGAUAUAAUAUACUGUUUGAAAUUGUAACACAUGAGUUAAAAUCAAAAGAUUGAUAAGUACAUAUUUGUAUAUUGCUACAUGACAAAAAUCUAGGAAGAAUAUGAUUCACAUGAAAAUUCUUUGGAAGGACAUGACAGACUUUUAACAGUCCUGUAUAGUGAAAGGAGAAUAGAACGACUACUUCUACUUUCUGUAUCUGAAAUUUUCAAAAGCUAUUUCAAAAUGAACAUUUAAACAACAGGAAAUUUUAGAGACAACCACUUUGUGCCUGUCUUCAUCCUUGACAUUCAACAUCCUAGGAACAAUGGGCUGUUGUAUUCAACUUCUUAUUCCCAACAGCCAUUAUGAAUGGUUUUUGAUUGAUCUCACAAAGAGCAUGUGCUUUAGACAUUAAUGCAGCGACUACCAUGAAACAGAGUAUUGGAUUACCUAAGGAAAGAAGCAGAGGAUGGAAUUUGAGGCAAUCAGGAUGAGUGAAAAAUUGAUUUGCAGCUGACCUGCAAAUGGAAUCAUCAGGAACAUCCCUUUCUCAUGGAGUCCCUUAAUUUACAAGUUAACUGCAAACAUAGGAGAUGAUAGUUCCAAGAAGGAACAUUUUAUCGUCUUUGUUUUUAAUCUCAAGAAUGGUACCUACCAUCAGUGAAUGACCUGUUGCAGUGCUUUCAUUGAAGUGUUCUUCGUUCCCUCAGCAAUAUGAUUGUGAUGACUGAAAAAGGGAAACUGUGCCACUAUUUGUACCAUCAUUUUCACCAAAAUCUAAAAAUGCUUUUUAUGACGUAUGGAGACAUUCUUCAUGUUUGUUUCAGUGGACACUCCUUGCAGAUGUAAAAAACUGAGAAAACUCACUUUUGGAAAGUGACCUAAAGAGUGUCAUUGAAGUGAAUUUUAAGUAGGCACGAUGAUUGUUUUCAUGGUUGCUGUUGGAUCAUAUCUCAGGAGCUGGAAUGACAGACAUUAUUGAACAAAGAAAUCAGGAUAGUGGAACUUAAAGGGCUUCAUCUCAGUGCUUUCAUAAGUAUGAAGUGCAUAUAUUUAUAAUUUUCACUAAUCACAGGGUAAAUAUAAAAUUGAUUCAUUAAAAAUGUUUCAUAAGAAUUCAAAGGACAUAGAAUUUUGUGAAAUGUAGUAUUUUUACUUAAGUGCCUUUUCUCUGCUUCUACCCCACAGCCAAUUUUUUAUAAACCAGUUGAUAACAUAAGUAGUUUUUGGGGGAUGAUACAUUACUUAUACAUUUUCUAUGUAGUAAACAUGUAUGUGUAUGUGUGUGGGUGUGUGUCUAAUUACUUUGUUGGACAGAUUCCUGUGGUUUGGAACUGCUGGGGCCAAGUUUAUACAAAAAUCUACAUUUUUGAGUAAACUCCCCAUGACUCUAGUAAGUUUCCACAGUAUUUGAGUAUUCUUUAUUUCCUAAAGCUGUACAAACAUCAGAUAAUCAAUAUUUGUAAGGAUCGAUAAUAUAAUUUAUAAUGAAAUUGCUUUAUCAGCUAUUAAUGUUAACUACAUCAUCUUCAUAUAGCCUUAUAACUCAUUUGUGCUAUUCCAUUUUCCUCUGUUCCUUUUAUUUUCACUUCCCUUGUAAUGUUAGUCUCUUUGUACUGAUUUCUGAAGAGUUCAUUUAUGAUUAAACAUGUUAACAUUUUGUCUAGAAUUGCAAAUAUGUUUUUUCUCAUUCAUUUUACUAUGGUGUUUUAUUUUUUGGUUAUACAGAAGUUGUAUAUUGAAAUAUAAUCUUGUUCUGUUUUAUGACUUUGGAGUUUUGUGGUUUUUUAAAACAUGUUUACAUUGGUAUCAUUUAUUUGUAUUGCCUUCUAUUUCAGCAGUUAGUUUGUCAUUUCUUUUUCCAUUAAUCAUCAUUCUGGUGUUAAUGAAUGCAUUAAAUAUUUAAAGUACUCACUUUGACCCGUGUAGUUAUCUGUUAAGUUCUACCAUAAAGAAAAUUUCCAGGUAA
rnacentral:lncRNA from 1 species